rnacentral:rRNA from 1 species
UACGUAGGGGCAAGCGUUGUCCGGAAUUACUGGGCGUAAAGCGCACGUAGGCGGCUUCUUAAGUCGGUGGUGAAAUCCUGAAGCUCAACUCCAGAACUGCCUUCGAUACUGGGAAGCUCGAGUCCGGGAGAGGUGAGUGGAACUGCGAGUGUAGAGGUGAAAUUUCGUAGAUAUUCGCAAAGAACACCAGUGGCGAAGGCGGCUCACUGGCCCCGGUAUGACGCUAG